AUCACUUAAGGAUCUUGUGAAAGGCAGAUUCUGAUUUAGUAGCUCUGAAAAUGGGUGUUAGGCUGAGAUUCUGCAUUUCUCACAAACUCCAAGGUGAUGCCAA
rfam:Sus scrofa chromosome 7.